UACGUAGGGGGCAAGCGUUGUCCGGAAUUACUGGGCGUAAAGGGCGCGUAGGCGGCCUUCUAAGUCGAACGUGAAAUCCCCGGGCUCAACCCGGGAACUGCGUCCGAUACUGGAAGGCUUGAAUCCGGGAGAGGGAUGCGGAAUUCCAGGUGUAGCGGUGAAAUGCGUAGAUAUCUGGAGGAACACCGGUGGCGAAGGCGGCAUCCUGGACCGGCAUUGACGCUGAGGCGCGAAAGCCAGGGGAGCAAACGGG
rnacentral:rRNA from 1 species